UACGUAGGUGGCAAGCGUUGUCCGGAAUUAUUGGGCGUAAAGCGCGCGCAGGUGGUUUCUUAAGUCUGAUGUGAAAGCCCACGGCUCAACCGUGGAGGGUCAUUGGAAACUGGGGAACUUGAGUGCAGGAGAGAAGAGUGGAAUUCCACGUGUAGCGGUGAAAUGGCGUAGAGAUGUGGAGGAACACCAGUGGCGAAGGCGACUCUUUGGCCUGUGAACUGACCACUGAGGCGCGAAAGCGUGGGGAGCAAACAGGG
rnacentral:rRNA from 1 species